rnacentral:rRNA from 1 species
GAGUGAACGCUGGCGGCAGGCCUAAUACAUGCAAGUCGAACGGCAGCACAGCAGAGCUUGCUCUGUGGGUGGCGAGUGGCGGACGGGUGAGGAAUACAUGGGAAUCUGCCCAGUCGUGGGGGAUAACGUAGGGAAACUUACGCUAAUACCGCAUGCGCCCUUCGGGGGAAAGCCGGGGACCGUAAGGCCUGGCGCGAUUGGAUGAGCCCAUGUCGGAUUAGCUAGUUGGCGGGGUAAAGCCCACCAAGGCGACGAUCCGUAGCUGGUCUGAGAGGAUGAUCAGCCACACUGGAACUGAGACACGGUCCAGACUCCUACGGGAGGCAGCAGUAGGGAAUAUUGGACAAUGGGCGCAAGCCUGAUCCAGCCAUGCCGCGUGAGUGAAGAAGGCCCUCGGGUUGUAAAGCUCUUUUGUCCGGAAAGAAAAGCGCCGGGUUAAUACCCUGGUGUCCUGACGGUACCGGAAGAAUAAGCACCGGCUAACUUCGUG